UUCUUUAUGUUUGCAUUGCCAACUUUUCUCAAAUGGGCUCAAACCUUGUGAUCGACCUUGGUUUUAUCCUAUAAUAAAUCCUGGUAAAUAUCAUGGCAAGUGGAGUAUUUUUACUUUCCAAAACCAGCAUCAAACACCUUCUAGUAGUUUGGUAAAAGAUGUAAUUUUACCCCUUCCACUAUUCCUCUUCACUCCAAACUUUUACCACAACCCCACAAUGCUAUAUUUUACCUCCAAUAAGAAACUCCAUCUCUGGU
rnacentral:lncRNA from 1 species